AAUCUGGCGUCUUUCAGGCGUCCGAGUUGUAAUCUAUAGAGGCGUUUUCCGCGCCGGACCGCGUCCAAGUCUCUUGGAAUAGAGUAUCAAAGAGGGUGACAAUCCCGUACUUGACGCGACAACCGGUGCUCUGUGAUACGUUCUCAAUGAGUCGAGUUGUUUGGGAAUGCAGCUCUAAAUGGGUGGUAAAUUCCAUCUAAGGCUAAAUAUUGGCGAGAGACCGAUAGCGAACAAGUACCGUGAGGGAAAGAUGAAAAGCACUUUGGAAAGAGAGUUAAACAGCACGUGAAAUUGUUAAAAGGGAAACGAUUGAAGUCAGUCGUGUGAAAGGUAUUCAGCCGUCUCUGGCGGUGUAUUUGCCUUUCACGGGUCAACAUCAGUUUGAUCCGGUAGAAAAAGGCGGGAGGAAGGUGGCACCCUCGGGUGUGUUAUAGCCUCCUGUCAUAUGU
rnacentral:rRNA from 1 species